rnacentral:rRNA from 1 species
UGGGGAAUAUUGGACAAUGGGCGAAAGCCUGAUCCAGCCAUGCCGCGUGUGUGAAGAAGGUCUUCGGAUUGUAAAGCACUUUAAGUUGGGAGGAAGGGCAGUAAGCGAAUACCUUGCUGUUUUGACGUUACCGACAGAAUAAGCACCGGCUAACUCUGUGCCAGCAGCCGCGGUAAUAUAGAGGGUGCAAGCGUUAAUCGGAAUUACUGGGCGUAAAGCGCGCGUAGGUGGUUCGUUAAGUUGAAUGUGAAAGCCCCGGGCUCAACCUGGGAACUGCAUCCAAAACUGGCGAGCUAGAGUAGGGCAGAGGGUGGUGGAAUUUCCUGUGUAGCGGUGAAAUGCGUAGAUAUAGGAAGGAACACCAGUGGCGAAGGCGACCACCUGGGCUCAUACUGACACUGAGGUGCGAAAGCGUGGGGAGCAAACAGG